UCUGUCUCUCUCUGCAGGCCCAGUGAUGAGAAGCACCCCACAGUAACAGCUGAUGGCUAUGUGGACAACCUGGCGGAGGCUGUGGAAACCAUCCUGAAGCUCCGGGGUCAGUGAGGAGAGGACCAGGAAGAACCACCUUCACCACCACAAUACACCACACACACACACAGCUACUGGUUACUCUGGUAUGAUCUGACAACAGGGAGUAACCCACUAACAUAGAGCCAUGUUGGAGCCAAGAUGGAGGAGAUAGAAGAACACAGUCUUAGAGGAGAUAGAGCCAUGUUGGAGCCAAGAUGGAGGAGAUAGAAGAACACAGUCUUAUAUGAGAUAGAGCCAUGUUGGAGCCAAGAUGAAGGAGAUAGAACACAGUCUUAGAGGAGAUGGAGCCAAGAUGGAGGAGAUAGAAGAACACAGUCUUAUAUGAGAUAGAGCCAUGUUGGAGCCAAGAUGGAGGAGAUAGAAGAACACAGUCUUAGAGGAGAUAGAGCCAUGUUGGAGCCAAGAUGGAGGAGAUAGAAGAACACAGUCUUAUAUGAGAUAGAGCCAUGUUGGAGCCAAGAUGGAGGAGAUAGAAGAACACAGUCUUAGAGGAGAUAGAGCCAUGUUGGAGCCAAGAUGGAGGAGAUAGAAGAACACAGUCUUAUAGGAGAUAGAGCCAUGUUGGAGCCAAGAUGGAGGAGAUAGAAGAACACAGUCUUAGAGCAGAUAGAGCCAUGUUGGAGCCAAGAUGGAGGAGAUAGAAGUUAAUAACCUCAUGGUCAGAGGGUAGCUAGUUAGGUAAGUUAAUAACCUCAUGGUCAGAGGGUAGCUAGUUAGGUAAGUUAAUAACAUCAUGGUCAGAGGGCAGCUAGUUAGGUAAGUUAAUAACAUCAUGGUCAGAGGGUAGCUAGUUAGGUAACAUCAUGGUCAGAGGGUAGCUAGUUAGGUAAGUUAAUAACCUCAUGGUCAGAGGGUAGCUAGUUAGGUAAGUUAAUAACAUCAUGGUCAGAGGGCAGCUAGAUAGGUAAGUUAAUAACCUCAUGGUCAGAGGGUAGCUAGUUAGGUAAGUUAAUAACCUCAUGGUCAGAGGGUAGCUAGUUAGGUAAGUUAAUAACAUCAUGGUCAGAGGGCAGCUAGUUAGGUAAGUUAAUAACCUCAUGGUCAGAGGGUAGCUAGUUAGGUAAGUUAAUAACAUCAUGGUCAGAGGGUAGCUAGUUAGGUAAGUUAAUAACCUCAUGGUCAGAGGGCAGCUAGAUAGGUAAGUUAAUAACCUCAUGGUCAGAGGGUAGCUAGUUAGGUAAGAUAAUAACCUCAUGGUCAGAGGGUAGCUAGUUAGGUAAGUUAAUAACAUCAUGGUCAGAGGGCAGCUAGAUAGGUAAGUUAAUAACCUCAUGGUCAGAGGGUAGCUAGUUAGGUAAGAUAAUAACCUCAUGGUCAGAGGGUAGCUAGUUAGGUAAGUUAAUAACAUCAUGGUCAGAGGGCAGCUAGAUAGGUAAGUUAAUAACCUCAUGGUCAGAGGGUAGCUAGUUAGGUAAGUUAAUAACCUCAUGGUCAGAGGGUAGCUAGUUAGGUAACAUCAUGGUCAGAGGGCAGCUAGAUAGGUAAGUUAAUAACCUCAUGGUCAGAGGGUAGCUAGUUAGGUAAGAUAAUAACCUCAUGGUCAGAGGGUAGCUAGUUAGGUAAGUUAAUAACAUCAUGGUCAGAGGGUAGCUAGUUAGGUAAGUUAAUAACCUCAUGGUCAGAGGGUAGCUAGUUAGGUAAGUUAAUAACAUCAUGGUCAGAGGGCAGCUAGUUAGGUAAGUUAAUAACCUCAUGGUCAGAGGGCAGCUAGAUAGGUAAGUUAAUAACCUCAUGGUCAAAGGGUAGCUAGUUAGGUAAGUUAAUAACCUCAUGGUCAGAGGGUAGCUAGUUAGGUAAGUUAAUAACCUCAUGGUCAGAGGGCAGCUAGUUAGGUAAGUUAAUAACCUCA